GAUGAACGCUGGCGGCGUGCCUAAUACAUGCAAGUCGAGCGAACAGACGAGGAGCUUGCUCCUCUGACGUUAGCGGCGGACGGGUGAGUAACACGUGGAUAACCUACCUAUAAGACUGGGAUAACUUCGGGGAAACCGGAGCUAAUACCGGAUACUAUAUUGAACCGCAUGGUUCAAUAGUGAAAGACGGUUUUGCUGUCACUUAUAGAUGGAUCCGCGCCGCAUUAGCUAGUUGGUAAGGUAACGGCUUACCAAGGCAACGAUGCGUAGCCGACCUGAGAGGGUGAUCGGCCACACUGGAACUGAGACACGGUCCAGACUCCUACGGGAGGCAGCAGUAGGGAAUCUUCCGCAAUGGGCGAAAGCCUGACGGAGCAACGCCGCGUGAGUGAUGAAGGUCUUCGGAUCGUAAAACUCUGUUAUUAGGGAAGAACAAAUGUGUAAGUAACUAUGCACGUCUUGACGGUACCUAAUCAGAAAGCCACGGCUAACUACGUG
rnacentral:rRNA from 1 species